rnacentral:rRNA from 1 species
UAAGGAAUAUUGGUCAAUGGGCGCAAGCCUGAACCAGCCAUCCUGCGUGCAGGAAGAAGGCCCUAUGGGUUGUAAACUGCUUUUGUCAGGGAAUAAACCUGUGGAUUUAUCCGCAGCUGAAGGUACCUGAAGAAUAAGCACCGGCUAACUCCGUGCCAGCAGCCGCGGUAAUACGGAGGGUGCAAGCGUUAUCCGGAAUUACUGGGUUUAAAGGGUGCGUAGGCGGCCCUGUAAGUCAGGAGUGAAAGUU